CCUACGGGCGGCAGCAGUGAGGAAUAUUGGUCAAUGGACGAGAGUCUGAACCAGCCAAGUAGCGUGAAGGAUGACUGCCCUAUGGGUUGUAAACUUCUUUUAUAUGGGAAUAAAAUGUUCCACGUGUGGGAUUUUGUAUGUACCAUAUGAAUAAGGAUCGGCUAACUCCGUGCCAGCAGCCGCGGUAAUAUGGAGGAUCCGAGCGUUAUCCGGAUUUAUUGGGUUUAAAGGGAGCGUAGGUGGAUUGUUAAGUCAGGUGUGAAAGUUUGCGGCUCAACCGUAAAAUUGCAGUUGAAACUGGCAGUCUUGAGUACAGUAGAGGUGGGCGGAAUUCGUGGUGUAGCGGUGAAAUGCUUAGAUAUCACGAAGAACUCCGAUUGAGAAGGCAGUUCACUGGACUGCAACUGACACUGAGGCUCGAAAGUGUGGGUAUCAAACAGGAUUAGAUACCCCAGUAGUC
rnacentral:rRNA from 1 species